CCUACGUGAGGCAGCAGUGGGGGAUAUUGCACAAUGGGGGAAACCCUGAUGCAGCGACGCCGCGUGAGGGAAGAAGGAUUUCGGUAUGUAAAGCUCUAUCAGCAGGGAAGAAAAUGACAGUAUCUGACCAAGAAGCCCCGGCUAACUACGUGCCAGCAGCCGCGGUAAUACGUAGGGGACAAGCGUUAUCCGGAUUUACUGGGGGUAAAGGGAGCGUAGACGGGUAUGUAAGUCAGGUGUGAAAGCCCGGGGCCCAACCCCGGGACUGCAUUUGAAACUGUGUAACUGGAGUACAGGAGGGGUAGGCGGCAUUCCUGGUGUAGCGGUGAAAUGCGUAGAUAUCAGGAGGAACACCGGCGGCGAAGGCGGCCUGCUGGACUGUAACGGACGUUGAGGCUCGAAAGCGUGGGGAGCAAACAGGAUUAGAUACCCGGGUAGUC
rnacentral:rRNA from 1 species